GUAAGUUAAAUACAAAGGUUGAGUUGGCUUAUGUGCAUUUGAAAUGCUGCUCUAAUUUGUAUCUAUAGGACAACAAGGAUUAAAUGGAGAUAAUCCCUUUACAAUGGUGUAAUUGGUACAGGGCUAGCAAGCUAGAUCAGCUAGAGCAUAUGGCUGGGUACUGAGAGAGAAACAGGAUCUGUUCUGUUUGGGCUCACCCCACACUGUGGGGCCCCACAGGACACUUGUCCCUAUGCCUUGGAUGUCAGGUGAUGCUACUGCAAGUCUGUGGAUCCUUGCAUGAACCAAGCAACAACUGAGGUAACCUGGUCCCAUCUCAAGCAGAGACCUGCCCCUGUUUCUGUGACCUUGAUGAUGCUGUGCUGACUGUGUGUGUCUGGUCACAGAGUCUCUGGUGCUCAGAGGCUGUGUGCUUAUUUUGCAGCCACUUGGCUACCACACAAGAGCUACAAGAGGUGCAUUGGAGAAUCACCAGAAUUUUAAUUAUUUUCAUUGCAUUUUGCUGUCUGCAGUCACAGGGUAAAAGAGGUACGGUCCAGUCUCAGGUUCUGCACUCUACAGCCAACCAGGUCAUCUGGUCUGGACUAGGAGCACACUCCUGCCUGUCAGAAGUUUCUCUUCUGUGUAUGGCAAGAGCCACUGAUUUUAAUUUGAGUCAGAACAUGAGUUAACAAUUCAGUGUAGAAAUAUCCCAUGAGCAGCUUCUCAGGAUGUCAUCAUAAGUCUACAGUUGUGGGAAACAGGGCAGUAAGACUUGAAUUUCUGGUGUUAAAAUUGGAGAGGAAUGAUAUUGCAGGUUUGGUUUUGGGUUUUUGGGUUUUUUUUAAUUCAUCAAAAAUAAGUCACCUUGAAGAUCACCUUUUAAGAAUUCUUUGGCUGUUCCUGACCAGAUGAUGUGUGAGAAGCAAUACUGUUUUCUGUGAAAACAACUCUGUAAAGAAGAGGAGAGAUAUAAGUUCCUGUGCUGAAAGACCUGAUUAUGCUGGACCAACCACAAAAUCUGUUACAGAGGUAUUAAUUGCUUGCACCAUUUAUGUAGUCACACAUUACACCUGCUCUUUCCUGUGGGAGUCAAACACCAGUAGUGUUUUCCAUCCCAAACUGGAUGUGAUGCCAAAAUACCAGGAAUCUGCAAGGAGCAGAACUGAGCUGUGUUAAACCAAUGACUUAACAUGACUUAAAGAGAAAAAAGCCACACAGGAAAACCAGAUUAUAAGAUUUGCCACCAUUCAAAUAAAAAGUUAUCCUUUCCUGUUGUUCCUUGAGCACUGGGCUUUCCAAGUUCACCAUUCUUUCCUGGGACAAGUGACUCAUGAACCUGAUAGGAAAAUGCACCUGUUUUUAGCCAGAGGUUAAAGCAGCUCUCCAGUUACCAGAGUAAACAAAGGAUUUAUUUCUGUCCUUAGCAAUUACCCUGCAAAGUCCAGGAACACAGGAAGGCUGGCAGAAGCCAUUAGGUUUGAGCCAAGUUUGCUGAAGUCAGUAGAAGGUUUGUGACAUCCACAGUAAGAUGCUCCUACAUGCCAGUGGGAUUUGGCCCAUGUCUUUUGCUAGAGGGGAAAUUGGAAAAAAAAGUUGUGAUUGUGUCAGCAGCCAAGGAUUCCAAGGAGCUGGAGGGUGUCUGCCAUGGUGUGGGAUACACAUUCCCUUCUCUGGCCCAGAGCUGUCCAUCUGUACUCUUGGCAAAAGAGCAGCUGUCAGUCACAGAGGCGUGAUGGGUAUUGACACAUUUGAGACUGAUCAGACACUGCAGUAAUGGCAACCAUGCAAGUGGCUAAAAUAUUUGGAAAUCAGAGUGUUGGAUGUAUUGGCAUCAUGGAAGCUGAAAGGUUUUAUGAGCCAGGAGUCACUUAUUAAUCCCAGCAUGAGAAAUGGGAUCUGUUUGUUCUCCACUAUGGAGAUCACUGAAAAAUGCAAAUACAACAUUAGCUUGUUUCAGGUCAGCACUCAAUACAGUAUAAAAACAAGAUGGAUUUUAGCCUUUAUUUAACUGGAUUUAAUUACAUGCAUGAGCUUCAAAGUGCCUAAGGCCUAAUGGAUGGUGACCUAAGGUCUGAUUAAAAAAGCAACAACACCCUAAGCCUUAAGCUUGUUUGUUAGACCAUAUGGCAUGACUGGACCAUGCAAUGUUACAGGGAAACAUGCUAGGAAGAAAGCACCCAGUGCAUCCACAGCAUUCGCAAAAUUUCUACCUUCACUCAGAAGAAUCUGAACACUGAUCUUCCCUGCCCUCUGUACCAGCAUGGCUCAGGAGCGUGGCUAGGAUGGAAAGAUGACAGUGUUUCCAAUCACACUUUCCCGAAAAGUCUGCAGUGCCCUGAGAGAGAGCAUGCUGACCCUUGGAAGUCAACCACUUUACUUCUCAGUUCGGGAGAUCCACGUGGCUACGAAAUUCCAAAUAACCAAAUUUCAGGAUAGUAUUAGCAUGACAGAUAUUGUGACAAUAUCUAUUUGUAUUUCUGUGAUUGAUUUCAGCCUAUUCUUGGGUCUGGAUAAAGUACAAAAUCUCUUUUUUCUUUGGAUAGUACAACACAGCUUUGUGUCAUCUCUGUAAAGGAUACCAGCCCUUAGCAGCCUCCAGGAAUCACCUCAGUGGGCCAACUGAUGUCCACCUGCUUGGUCUCUGAACACCCAGCUCAGAAA